UUUAACACUUCAUGACUGACAACACAACACAACACAAUCUUCAGCAUCACACAAACCAACAAGAACAACAAUGACUUUCAGCAUCAUCUUCAUCUGGACACUCACAGUGUUUAUUACAGAAUCCAGAGGAGUUACUCUGACUCAACCUAGAGUGAAAAGUGUUCAACAGGGACAAACAGCUACAAUAGAGUGUCAUAUAGAUGUAGGAAUAUAUAGCAGCUACUUAGCCUGGUAUCAGCAGAAACCUGGAGAAGCUCCUAAACUCCUCAUAUAUGACAUCAGAAGCCUCCAGUCUGGAGUAUCAUCUAGAUUCAGUGGCAGUGGAUCAAACACAGAUUUCACUCUGAGCAUCAGUGGAGUUCAGACUGAAGAUUCAGGAGAUUAUUACUGUCAGAGUGAACAUUAUAUCAACAGUAAAGAUGUGUUGACACAGUGAUAAAGAGUCGUACAAAAACCUCCGUCAGUCAGACUGAAUAGUGACUGCACUGAUACACCUGACACAUACUGCAGCUGAUCAUACAACACAAAAAAACACACACACAUAACACUGAUCACUAAUAUAGAUUUUUUUUAGUUAUGAAGAUAAUGAGUCAAGAGAAAAAAUACAUUUACAUUUUGAUAAGAAUAUUAUUUUAGUUAAAUUCAUGAUUUAUAUCAAACAUA